rnacentral:rRNA from 1 species
UGGAAGUAAAAAGUUGUAACAAGGUCUCCGU